rnacentral:rRNA from 1 species
GUUGCUUCCUGUGUUAGCGCCGCCUGUUUAUCAAAACAUCGCCUCCUGCUCAAUAAUAAGAGGUCAAGCCUGCCCAGUGACAUUGUUCAACGGCCGCGGUAUCCUAACCGUGCGAAGGUAGCGUAAUCACUUGUUCUUUAAAUGAGGACUAGUAUGAAUGGCCCCACGAAAGCUAUACUGUCUCCUUUAUCCAAUCAGUAAAACUAAUCUCCCCGUGAAGAAGCGGGAUUUAUAUAUAAGACGAGAAGACCCUAUGGAGCUUCAGACAUUUUAGACAUUUGAACUUAAUAUUAUACUUUCCGAAAAAUUUUAAAACAUAUCAUUUUGUCCUAAGUCUUGGGUUGGGGUGACCACGGAGAAAAACCAACCUCCACGUGGAAAGAAGUCAUUCUUCUAAGCAAAAGUCACAUCUUCACGCAUCAAAAUAUUGACCUAAAUUGACCCAAUUAUUUGAUCAACGAACCAAGUUACCCUAGGGAUAACAGCGCAAUCCGCCUUAAGAGCUCUUAUCGACAGGCGGGUUUACGACCUCGAUGUUGGAUCAGGGUAUCCCAGUGGUGCAGCAGCUACUAACGGUUCGUUUGUUCAACGAUUAAAACCCUACGUGAUCUGAGUUCAGACCGGGCGCUAACACAGGAAGCAUGCAACUGAACGAAGCAUA